rnacentral:miRNA from 1 species
UUAUACCAAAUUAAUAGCAAA